rnacentral:lncRNA from 1 species
CUAAUAUGUCUUCUACUAUAUAUACCCUUGCCCUAACAUAAAUUAGGGGCGGUUGUUCAUUAUAUGCUUUCUUCAUAUCAUCAUUCAUAUAUUCAAGAACACAUUCAAGUCAUUAAUUUAUCCAUUGAUUCUUGAAUUCACACAAUCACAUAUUUGGGAAAAACAUCAAUUUCAUAUAAUCCAAAAUACUCACUUCCUAUACACAUAAAGGAAGAUACUUUCUCAAUAGUUUUCAGAGAUUGUUGAAAAGUGAGGGAGGUUAGACUAGAAGCAGGGGAAGAGUACAAAAACAAGGUGUUUUUGGUGAUCCACAGGAUAUAGACAAUUCGAGAAGAUCGCACGUAUAAGUGAAACACGUUCCAGCGGGUUUUGGAGAUUGCAGGAAGUAGAUUAGCAAAGCUAGUGAAAUUUUUUAGACUGGAUCAUAAUGUGAGUUCAUCAUUGUCUAUAAUGAAGGUUAUUGGCUUGGUCCUAAAGUUUUACCCAGUUGGAUAUUUUUGUCAACAAUUCUUGUGUUCUUUAUUACUUUCAUAUUACAAACUAUGUCAGUUCAACGUAGAAUAAUUUGUCGUGUAUGAUUAAUCAUUUAGAAAUAAUUAAAAAG